rnacentral:rRNA from 1 species
AUUGAACGCUGGCGGCAGGCCUAACACAUGCAAGUCGGGCGGAGCGGCGGACGGGUGAGUAAUGUAUGGGGAUCUGCCUGAGGGGGGGGUAUAACUACUGGAAACGGUAGCUAAUACCGCAUACUAUCAGAUGACCCUAGGUGGGAUUAGCUAGUUGGUGGGGUAAAGGCCUACCAAGGCGACGAUCCGUAACUGGUCUGAGAGGAUGAUCAGUCACACUGGAACUGAGACACGGUCCAGACUCCUACGGGAGGCAGCAGUGGGGAAUAGUGGACAAUGGGCGAAAGCCUGAUGCAGCCAUGCCGCGUGUGUGAAGAAGGUCUUCGGGUUGUAAAGCACUUUAAGUGGGGAGGCGUUACCAACAGAAGAAGCACCGGCUAACUCCGUGCCAGCAGCCGCGGUAAUAC